rnacentral:rRNA from 1 species
GUAGUCAUAUGCUUGUCUCAAAGAUUAAGCCAUGCAUGUCUCAGUACAAGCCGCAUUAAGGUGAAACCGCGAAAGGCUCAUUAAAUCAGUUAUGGUUCCUUAGAUCGUACCCACAUUUACUUGGAUAACUGUGGUAAUUCUAGAGCUAAUACAUGCAAACAGAGUUCCGACCGGAGACGGGAGGAAUGCUUUUAUUAGAUCAAAACCAAUCGGCGGCGUGUGCGUUCGCGUGCACGUUCGCCGCUCAACCUGGUGACUCUGAAUAACUUUCGGCUGAUCGCACGGUCCAGCACCGGCGACGCAUCUUUCAAAUGUCUGCCUUAUCAACUGUCGAUGGUAGGUUCUGCGCCUACCAUGGUCGUAACGGGUAACGGGGAAUCAGGGUUCGAUUCCGGAGAGGGAGCCUGAGAAACGGCUACCACAUCCAAGGAAGGCAGCAGGCGCGCAAAUUACCCACUCCCGGCACGGGGAGGUAGUGACGAAAAAUAACGAUACGGGACUCAUCCGAGGCCCCGUAAUCGGAAUGAGUACACUUUAAAUCCUUUAACGAGGAUCAAUUGGAGGGCAAGUCUGGUGCCAGCAGCCGCGGUAAUUCCAGCUCCAAUAGCGUAUAUU